CGAACGCUGGCGGCGUGCUUACCACAUGCAAGUCGAACGGCAAGGCCCUGCUUUUGUGGGGUGCUCGAGUGGCGAACGGGUGAGUAACACGUGAGUAACCUGCCCUUGACUUUGGGAUAACUUCAGGAAACUGGGGCUAAUACCGGAUAGGAGCUCCUGCUGCAUGGUGGGGGUUGGAAAGUUUCGGCGGUUGGGGAUGGACUCGCGGCUUAUCAGCUUGUUGGUGGGGUAGUGGCUUACCAAGGCUUUGACGGGUAGCCGGCCUGAGAGGGUGACCGGCCACAUUGGGACUGAGAUACGGCCCAGACUCCUACGGGAGGCAGCAGUGGGGAAUAUUGCACAAUGGGCGGAAGCCUGAUGCAGCAACGCCGCGUGCGGGAUGACGGCCUUCGGGUUGUAAACCGCUUUCGCCUGUGACGAAGCGUGAGUGACGGUAAUGGGUAAAGAAGCACCGGCUAACUACGUG
rnacentral:rRNA from 1 species